rnacentral:lncRNA from 1 species
GGCCCAGGGUUCACUCCCAGCAACUCCUUCCCGUCCAAUCGUGGAAAUAGGAGUAAGUCAGCUGCAGCACUUGCAUACCUCUUCUAUCUUUAAGAGAAAACAGAGCUAUUUCUUUCUUCUUCUACUUCCUUCUUUUUUCUUUUUUUUUUUUGACAAACAGAGCUAUUUCUUUGAAGCCACACAAUCCAGCACAAGGCUACCAUGACACAAUC